ensembl:lncRNA
ACACACACACAUACAGAAUCCACAUCCAGCAGAACCAGAGAUGUAAAAAAAAAAAUCUUCAUAUUAGCACAUUUGGCCACUCAGACUCGGCAUCUACCUCUGUAUGUCUGCACUGCUCCACCGAGCCGGCAAGCAAACAGCAGAUGGAAGUAGAGGGAAAAAAGCAGAGUCAUUGUGACAGCGUUUAUUGCUCACUUUUGGAACACAUUUCAUGUUAUAUGCAGAUGCUGGGUAGUGGGGGUAAUUGCUAAAAGUCAAGUGAAAGUAAAUGAAAAGGAAAGAAUGAUGAGACGAGAAUAUUCACAGAGGUCAAGUAAAAAAAAUAAACACAGCGGUGAGAGACAAUGAGUGGAGAAACACAGCUGUCCAAUAGACUGAAAUAUCCUCAAUAACAUCUGCUGGGCUCUCUGGAAUCCUUGCUCUGCUCCCUCCGUCAACCUCGAGCCGUCCUCUGGCGUGGAAAGACUGAUACAACACGGACAGUGUUCAAGAGUCAAGGUCACGAAUGAUUUACCUGAGGAGAAUGGGCAUAACGCCUGGAAGGAUAUCUUCAUUAAUUAACAAAUCCGGCGCGUCGAUAACAAAAUUGAUGCCCUUGUAUUAUAAAAACGAAAAGAUGAGAAGAAAGGGGUCUCUCUCUCUACCUCUCUUUAGUAAAAACUAAAAAGCAAAUCCUCCACAGUCGAAAGCAUCAAAGUCGGAGUCGCCCUCGAAGUCGAAGCUGUUGAAGUUGGGGGAGUCGACGUCCUGGCUGCAGGCGCUGAAGGAGCCCCCCGCGGGCAGCUCGGAGAAGCCCCCCACGCCAUGGCCGAUGUCCGGCGCCCUGCUGGCCAGCGGGGAGGACGGGGAGGAGUUGAGGUAGCCCAGAGCGGAGGAGGCCGCUGCCCCUCCCAUCAGCAGGCACACCGCCCUCACCGCCCGGGCGUCGCUGCUGUUGCCGUGACGAAGGCAGUCGGACACGCGGUGAGGAGGGGCCCCGGAGACACUGCGCAGGGGCCGCCGGGGUCCUCCUGCUGUGGAAGGCAAUUGAAACAUUAUGCACAUUAUAUAAUUGACUGGAUUUGUUCUGUUCUGUUCUGUUCAACCAUUUGCUAAAUACACUUUUAUGUCUGUCUUUUUGCCAUGAACAUGUCAUGAAAUUGCAAUUUAUUUUUCAUUUACAGGAGGACCUGAUGGCAGACCUUGGCUUUGGCCUCCGUCUCGGAAGGAGCCUCCUCGCUCUGUGACUCGAGACGAAGGAGGGGGGGUGCCCUCGCCGACCCUGGGUGACCCGGGGUCUUUGCUGCUGGGGGGGUCGGGCAGCGGGUCCCUGUCGGUGAUGCAGGGGGUGAUGCUGCACUGCCUCUGCAGGGUGAAGGGUGACAUGACACCCUAGAGAACAGAUAUCAUUAGAAACGUAUGUAGAAAUACACUAAAUGAGCGGUGGGGUGGGACAAAGAAGGGGCCGAAUGAGGCGAGAGCAGACUCACCUCUCUCACUUUCCUUAUCAUGUUCAGCCAAAGACUGUGAAAACAAAAGAGGGAAUCAUUAUAUUUGACCCAUAAUCAGACCUGCACUCUUUAUGGGGACACAAGAGAAUGUGAGAUAUUCUUAUAAAUCUGACAUGGUUACUGCCUCUGCAGUGAACAUGUCCAAUAGUGAGUGGGACAAAGGAGAUAACAUCUGAUUAGGAACAGGGUGAGGGACGUGAAUCCUUUGAUGUUUGUGUGUGUGUGUGUGUGUGUGUGUAAGAGACACUAACUUGCAGUCAUCUGGGUUCUCAGUGAGAAGCAGCAGGAACUUGUUCUGCGGCAGGAUGAGGGCGAAGCAGCAGUCCCUGCGGCCCCCCGGAGGCAACCUGGGCAGGUCGAGGAUUUCCCGACCCUCUGCGAUGGACUCGCAGAGGGUCUGCAGGGCGACCACCUGGUCCGGGGGGGACUCUGCGUCGCGGCACACAAGCAGGCUUCCCUCCAUGGUCAGCACGAGGUACUUCUCCUUCCACUGCUUAAACACAAAGCCCCCUGCAGACACACGAGAGGAACAGAGGAGGUUUCGUUGUUGUUGUUGUUUUGUUGCUUCUGUUAUCUUGUGUGUGAUGUGGUACGAGCAACAAAAGAUCAGGAACUUUGUAACUACUGACAGUUUUAUAGGUGCAGGUACUGCAGGUGAUCGUUUACUCCCUCUGAUUGUAAUAUUUUUGGGGAUUAGCUUUUGGUCAGCUUAGAAAACUCCUGGAAUGGUUCCCUUCAUGCCGAGGAAGCCUUUUUUGUGUGCUGAUAACAUUUCUGGAGGCUGUGGUUUGGACUGCAUUUUUUUUCAAAAGGUGAAUCAAAUCCAAAUCUCUGGAUAAUUAGGCCUACUGUAAUAAAACACAGUAGCAAAUACACAUACGUACACGCACAACAGCACAAACAACAGCCUUGAAAAUGAAAAGCGCAACUCUGUCUACCAUCGAACCAACGUCCCACACAGGCGUCGAUGGGCUCGUAACAGAUGGGCAGCACAUAUAGAUGGAGAAGAUUUGCUCUGUUUUUCCAUACGGAGGAUUAGAGAUGAACAGUUUGACAAAAGGGCCCCUCACCUUUGCCAAACCCACUUAGGAAUAGAAGUUUAGAUUAACUUUACUAUCAGCAAUCUACAGUUAAGAGAGGACAAUAUCUUUUUUUCAAUCCGAACUGCUGAUUUUGUUAGAAAAUAUCAUCUUCUCCUUCUUACUCUGAUCCCUGAGCCACACUGACAACUGUCAAAUGGAACCAAUGGAGAUAUGGAACAGAUGCGGCUUUGUUAAACAUAAUUCUGUUAAAUAAAAGACAUCUGGGAACGAUCAUAUCACACAAAGUGAAUUCACUCAUCUUCCAGUUUGGGUUUCUGAGGAAGUAUUCCUGUUUACUCGUUGUUCUUGAGGAGAAUAAAUACCAGUAUUUAUUAGUCCACGCAGGGGAAAUAUCAUGACCACAAGUCUAAAAUAUCGGACUGGUGUUAAAGUGUCAUGUUUGUCUGAACAAAAAAUCGUUUCUUUGAUUUAUUUUGACUGUCAGUGUUGGAAGGGAAGUUGUUUCUUACCAUGUUUGUAGCGUUUAUUUCUGAUUAAAACGUUUGACCCGAUAAUGGUGAAACUAACACAAGUGUAGGCUGCGAACACAGCUGACCCCAAUUUCUAGCCCCAAAAACCUGAUUGGAUAAGGAGUAUUAAAAGACAGAACUGUUGUGCAUUGCAGAAAUCUACUCAAACAAAAAAAUGUGAAUGUUAUGGAAUCAGCACAAACAGGAACAACAACGAGACAAAACUAGUCCGUCACACGGUGCUGAGAACUGCACACGGACCAGGGAGACAAAGCAGGCCUACCGUAUUUCCUGAGGAAGCCCCGAUGGACGCCCGCCGUGCUCAUGCCUGCGUUCAUCGCAGCAACAGGGACCAAAUGACAGGCAGAUCAUUGGAUGCUGAAAGCCGGGUGAUAGAGAGAGAGAGAGUGAGAGAGAGAGAGAGAGGGUGAAUAAUCCCUAUACUAUUUAGGCCUUCCUUCCUUAAACCCGUGCUGUUGUGAAUGGAAUUGGAACUGUCCCCGCUUAUGCACACAUGACCGUCAUACGAGCGCCACAGCCAAAAUAAUCAUAACAGUGAUGGAUAAAUCCCACCAGAGAGAUCACUGGGAUUUUCACGGCGGCCAUCGCCAGAUGCCCCGCUGGACUCGCCUCCAUCCCCUCCGAUCCAGCUCCUCUUUCGGGAGAUUUAAGCCUCUGUUCGCGGUCUUGCGUGCGACAUGCGGGCGUAUUUGUAAUGACCUAUCAUUAAAUCGCCGUCAAACCGGUGUCCCAAUGUCUCUCCGUGACCUUGGACGGCCACGAGACCAGGGCACGGGUCACCUCGCCGCUCAAGCAGAUUAAAACAGAGGGAUUAUUAUCGCUGCACAGCUGGAGGCCGUUCUUGCAGUGCGGUGGAACGGACCCGAACAAGAUUUGUAAUCUACUCAGGCGUGUCCCCCCCUGCAGGCCGCCGCCGCCAAGAUAUUGACUGGGUUCAUUAAAGCAUGUAUCCCAAAGGGAUUAAAACAAUUGUCUUAACAUGCGCUUGAUUAUCAGGCUGAGAUACCAUUAUGUGAGUAGAGGAAUGUAGGAGAGACUUUGACACCGGAGAGGAAUCCUCAAUGAGGACGCGUCUGAAUACAGAAGACACAUCAAAAUGUCCAGAGAAGCUGUCAUCUAGUUAAGAAGUUGAUUUCAUAGAAGCACACCGUUUGUUUAGUUUGACAGAAACCCCGGGGCAUUUUUCUUUUAGAUUUGGGUGGAUUUCUGUGGGAAAAGGCGCUGGUAAGUAGUAAAGGACUCUUUGGGGAAAGCGGAACGGCAUAAAAAGUACAUAAACUAUGUGUUUGGGUCGUUGGGGUCGUCCGUCACUCCAUCCAGUUCAUUCUUGAGAAGAAGCUGUCUCCGCAUGGGACUAUUUUAUAUUUAGCACAAACGUCCACAUGGACUCAAAGACAAAUUUGUCUUGUCUUGGUCCAAAGGAGAAGGUCAAGGUCACUUGGACCUCACUUUGAAAUUGAGGGGAUUUCCUCAGAUUUGGCACAGACGUCCACUUCCAUUAAAUGUUGACCUCAUUCAAAUUUGGCGGUCAGAGUUCUCUGUGACCCCACAAAAGCCAAGUGUAAACAGGCUGACAAAGGCUUAAAACUAGGAACUCUUUCAGCUUUAAAAUGAACUGUAUUUAAAAUUAAAUGAAAUUUAACAAAAGCAGAUCCCAAAAUAUGUUUGUAAUCUGUUGGCACACCAAUGAGCUAAUAUUAAACUGAAGGUAAUUUUCCAUAGUGAAUUUGGUGUCUGGUGUAGAAACACGGCUGCAUACGUUCAGUAAUUCUGUAAAUUCUGUAAAUGGCCCACAAUCACAAAGGUCCCCCCUUUAAAGUAUGUUUCCAUUUAUGUCGCCACCAGUAUCCAUACACGUAUUAAUGGGAAUUUAUUUUUACAUGGUACACACGUGAAGACAGUGUGUUUACUUUACUGUCUGUGAGUCAUUGUCAACAGCAGGGGGCAGAAGAGCCCCUGUAAACUUUAGCCAGUCACGUGUCAUUGUGUCACCAGCAGGUUAGCGGGAAGCAUUUUGCCUGGCUGCACUAUAAAGACAGUGAAGAAGAAGACUCAGUAGUAGCUCAUUGUUGGCAUGUGUAGCUGGGAGAGCAGCCGGAAGGGGUUUCCUACGUCUGCCACCCAAUUAGACGUCUUCUCCAACACCGACAGGUUGUUUGCUUCAUCAGGCAGUGGAGACUGAGUAGUCUUUACCUAAACGUCCCUUUAAAUCUGUUCUGAUUUUGGUACGACCUGAAAAACCUAAACACUGCAGUGCUGCAGAGCCAGUGCCCAUCCCCCUCAAGACCAAAACACUCGCUCCUUGCAGGCCCAUCCAGCCCCCCAAAACAUGAGUAGAACACCCCUCUUUCUUGUACAGGACCCCCCUCGGUGACCCUCCUCCCCUCCUCUCCCUUCUAUCUGGGAGCAGCGAGAGCACCAUUGCUCAAGUUCCCAUUGAAAAGAGAGCAUAUACAAUGGGGUCUUUCUCAGCCUCCCUCUCUGUCUCCAUUAAAGACCCUGGGAACACAACACUGUCCACAGAGCCUCUCUUAAAGGGCCAGCGGGGCCCAGGGUCCCGCAACCUGAGUCCCGGAAACCUCCCAUCGAAUUUCAUGGGAGAAAAAAAAAACAGGAAUCUACGCAGAAAAUCAAUUAUUCAUGAAUGGUGUGUGAACGCUGGCCGCGCCACCUCCGUCCAGACACAGCCAAUCACCUCAGACAUCACAGUCUGCAGCAGCACAGCACAGCCCCCACUGCUGAUAGGAAUCAACUCUUUAUUUAGACUGCAGCUGAUGAUGCGGAGACUGUAGAUCAAAUAGAUUUGAGUAUCACUCACAGUAUACUUUAUAUUAAUAAAUGUGUAAAGUAAGGUCUCUUUUUUCCCAUGCUGCAUCGCUGUAAACAAGACAUGAACAUGGUAACUAUAUAGUAAAAUACAUUUAGCAUUAAAUUACCUGAUGUUUCAUUUAUAGGCCAAUGGAAAGAAACUCAUUGAAAGUCUAUUAAGCCGUGGAAAUGAGAACUUGAGCGACAUUUGGUUUAACUUAUUUUAAACUUUUUUUUAAAAUGAAAAUGAAUCACACGUGAUGUUAAAUAUACGUAGAAUAAUAACAAAGGCAAAUGAAAAUAAUGCAAUAAAUAUAGUAUGAAAAUAUAUAAAACAUAUAUAUAUAAUUUGGGAUAUACAUAUAACAUACAGGUUUGUACAUAGAAACCAGGACGUACAAAUCAGCCCAGAAAAUAAAUCUGUGUAAUGUGAGAAUGAAUGAAUUAUGAACAACUGGGUAAACAAAUGCAGUUACUGUUCUCUAAAGAACAACGAUGAAAGCUUCAACUAAGUCAGGGAUCCUCUGCCAUGACUUAUGUCACUUAUUAUGUUGUUGGUGCACACAUGGGAAGUGCCAGGGUCCGACUUCCAGCGGGACACAAGGUGAUAAACUCCACUAUUUUACAACUUCCGGGGAUCCAGCGUGUAAUUAAGAAAGCGAAUGAGGGGAUUGUGCUGAGACAAUCAGCAUUUCUCACAUCUACUGAGAGGAAGGAGGAGGAGGAGGAGGAGGGUGGAAAGAACUUUGAGUUGAGGAAUUUGAAUCCUGUUUGAAGAGUCGAGAGAGGGAGGGAGAGGGAGAGGGGGAGAGAGAGGGAGGGAGGGGGGUGUCUGAUGGGUGUGGGGGAACCGGUGCGGCAGGAGAGUGGCCGAGGACGACCGACUGCUUGAUACACUGGUUUGAAGAAACUUACUCCCUCGGUUUGCUGGGAACACAUUUGUGGAAGUUUACCAGCGGCCGAAAGGCUCGGAGCGCCUUUUUCUUUCUUUUCUUUGGCCGUGCGCUUUCUCUCCUUGGGGGAGGAUUUGCGGAUCCGGAUCAACCAAAACCACGGAGGAAGAAGUAAAGCUACAAGACUUCUGAGCAGUUUCUACAUUCUGUUUCCUUUCAGAUAAACAAAUAAAGGUAAGCGAAACUACGGCAUCCGGUUGACUUCCUUUUUUUUGUUUUUUUGGCGCAUCUGUGCAUAAAUCUCCACUUCAGCCGGAGUCCGCAUUCAAGCUUUUUUUCCCCUUCCUACCGCGUAAACCUCUCGGGCUUC